GGGAGCAUGGAGAAAUUGGUAUACUCAGCAGACUUAAAAUCUGCCGUCGUGAGACAUACGGGUUCAAGUCCCGUUGCUCCUACCA
rnacentral:tRNA from 1 species